GGAGAGAUGCGAGAGUGGCUUAAUCGGCACGACUGGAAAUCGUGUGAGCGCCUAGCGCUCCGGGGGUUCGAAUCCCCCUCUCUCCGCCA
rnacentral:tRNA from 1 species